GGAGAACACAGAAUUUCCAUUUAACUUUUUCGUUACUGUGCCUAUAGAAAUCGAUCAAUUUGAUCGACA
rnacentral:lncRNA from 1 species